rnacentral:rRNA from 1 species
GACGAACGCUGGCGGCGUGCCUAACACAUGCAAGUGGAGCGACGAACCGGGCUUCGGCCCGGGGCAAAGCCGCGAACGGGUGAGUAACACGUGGGUAGCCUGCCCUGAUGAUUGGGACAACCCGAGGAAACUCGGGCUAAUACCGAAUGUGCCCUCUGGCCGUAAGGCCUCUGGGGAAAGGAAGCUUCGGCCUCCGCAUCGGGAUGGGCCCGCGGCGCAUUAGCUUGUUGGUGAGGUAACGGCUCACCAAGGCGACGAUGCGUAGCUGGUCUGAGAGGGCGAGCAGCCACACUGGGACUGAGACACGGCCCAGACUCCUACGGGAGGCAGCAGUGGGGAAUCUUGCGCAAUGCGCGAAAGCGUGACGCAGCAACGCCGCGUGGGGGAAGAAGGCCUUCGGGUUGUAAACCCCUUUCAGUUGGGACGAAGCUCCGGCGGUGAAUAGCCGUCUGGAGUGACGGUACCUUCAGAAGAAGCCCCGGCUAACUACGUGCCAGCCGCCGCGGUAAUAC